rfam:Triticum aestivum genome assembly, contig: Triticum_aestivum_CS42_TGACv1_scaffold_362426_4DS
UUCAUACUCCCUUCUUCCAGAAUUACUUAUCACAUAAAUGGAUAAAAAUGGAUGUAUUUAGAACUAUAAUACAUCAAGAUACAUCCAUUUCUCCGACAAAUAAUUCCGGACGGAGGGAGUACUCG